AUUCAACACGGCAAAGGGUCAGUGUAAAGUCAGAGGACACAGACGUGUUGAAAGCAAAUGAGCAUAUUGGGAAACUCACUUCUUUAAAUUACUUGUGUUGUGUGUGUACACACACACACACACACACACACACACACACACACACACAGCUUGACCAGCUGUUAGCCAUUAAAAAUCAGGAAGAAAUCAGACUCGGGCCAAGCAGGACAUUGUGUACAAGGGGUUUCAGGAAGAUGAGGAUGUAUGCAUGUCAGCAGUGCUGCACAUUUCAGGCUCUCAGCACAUCUGUGCGUCUCUGUUAAUUAGCCACAUGUUUUCAGUUAGGUAUUGUGCUGUCAUUCAAGUGCUUGUUGUUCCACAUUUAACUCUUGGCAGUGUUUGGAACAACACGUCUGCUCUUCCAGUGGAAACAUGAUGCUGCACAUUGAAAGCACAUCAUCAGCUUUGGCAAUACUGGCUUUAAGUUACUACGUCAUGCUGGAAGUUGGACCAGGAUUGGCCUCCAGUCGAGUCGUGACUAGACUGGUAAACAUCUUAACCUCUCUUUUUUUCCAUGAGCUCAGAGUAAUUUUCCACUUUUAGCAGACGACCUAGUUAAGAGUCUUUUUUUGUUAAAUUCUGUGCAAGUGAAACAUCGAAGUGACAUGACAGAGAAAAUACACAACAACAUUUUGAUGAUCAUGAGUUUCAGUAUAAUUGAAAUCCCAAAAGGGGACAUUUCUGGUAUAAAGUGAACAUAAAAAGUCCUCUGUGUUCUGUCCACGUUAAUGAUGAUAUACUGCUCAGGAUGUUAAAAGUGUUUAAUCACACAAAGCUGUUAAUUUUGCCUCAUAUCAUUUAUCCACCGACCACUUUUCUCAUAUAUGUGCUGUAAACCAAACUUUAAAAACUGUCUAGGCUGGCUGAAGCUGAGUCAUCGUGUUCCUGAUUUAUGGUAAAUCCCUAUUAAUUCUGAUCUUGCCAGCAGCUGCAGCACCACAUUCCCAGACCAGAAUGUCCAACGUUUCCUUUAGAAAAAUAAUCUACAUGACAAGUCAUUGUGUCACGAUUGGGCGUCACCUCUGUCUUGUUUCCUGAUGGUAGAUUUACAGGCAACUUAAAUAUUCAUAGUUUCCACUCUGCCCCCCUUGUAGCCUCCAGUGGUCAAACAUUUACAGUUGGUGUGAAUCACAGAUGUCCCUGAUUCACACCCUGGGGUACGCGCAAUGCUGGAGAGAAUCUCUCUGAGAACAGAGGUGGUGGGUACAAGUAAACAAAGUGGUGAGAGGUAAAGUAAACAGGGGAGUAUAAAUAGUGUGCAUUGAGCUAAUGCUAAUUUACAGUCAGUUUACAUUCAGGCCAAAUAUUUUUUUUCUUUUAAUUAAUUAAUUUAUGUCAUUUGUGAAGAUUCACACAGCACAAUUAGAGAUCAGAGGAAAUCAGGUUUCAAAACAGUCAGUAGGAAAAUUUGGUGCUUUGCAUCUAUUUCAGUGGACAAUCCUCAAUUUGAUGAAUUAAAUUCAGUUUUAACAGUCCAGCCUAAGGAAUCAUAAACUGCAACACUCACUGGACACUUUAUUAGGCAUACCUUGCUAGUCCCAGGUUGAAUGCCCUUUGUCCUUCAGAACUGUCAUAAUUUACAUACAUACAUACAUACAUACAUAUAAAGAUAACUUCAACAAGGUGCUGAAAACAUUCCUCAAUUUUGGUCCAUACUGACAUGACAGCAUCAGAUCAGGGUGGCUGUAGCUGAGGAGGUAGAGCAGGUCAUGUACUGCUCCCUGGCUGCUCCACUCUGCAUGCCAGAGUAUUCUUGGGUAUCCAUAGUGUAUAUAUAAAAAGACAAAUUACCUUUUUAUAUAUACACUUUUGACAUACACUCUGCAAA
ensembl:lncRNA